GAGUUUGAUCAUGGCUCAGAUUGAACGCUGGCGGCAUGCCUUACACAUGCAAGUCGAACGGCAGCAUGAUCUAGCUUGCUAGAUUGAUGGCGAGUGGCGAACGGGUGAGUAAUACAUCGGAACGUGCCCUGUAGUGGGGGAUAACUAGUCGAAAGAUUAGCUAAUACCGCAUACGACCUGAGGGUGAAAGUGGGGGACCGCAAGGCCUCAUGCUAUAGGAGCGGCCGAUGUCUGAUUAGCUAGUUGGUGGGGUAAAGGCCCACCAAGGCGACGAUCAGUAGCUGGUCUGAGAGGACGAUCAGCCACACUGGGACUGAGACACGGCCCAGACUCCUACGGGAGGCAGCAGUGGGGAAUUUUGGACAAUUGGCGAAAGCCUGAUCCAGCAAUGCCGCGUGUGUGAAGAAGGCCUCGGUUGUAAGUCACUUUGUUCGGUAACGAAAGUAGGACGUC
rnacentral:rRNA from 1 species